rnacentral:rRNA from 1 species
CUUAAAUUAUUAAUAGAUAUAAUCUUCAAAUUUGAAGAAUUUGGCGGUGAUUUAGUCUUGUUAGAGGAACCUGUUUUUGAAUCGAUACACCACGCAUGAUUUUACUUGUCUUAUUAGUUUGUAUACCGUCAUUAUCAGAUAAUUUUAAAAGAAUUAAUUAUUAGUCCUUUAAAAAAACGAAGACUAAAUUAGAUCAAGGUGCAGCUUAUGGACAAGUUAAAAUGGGUUACAAUAAAACUUAUUUAUAUGGAAUGGUAUUAGUAAGAUAAAUCAUGAAGGCGGAUUUAAUUGUAAUAAAAAUUUAAUAAGUUUUUAAAAUAUAAGCUCUAAAUCAU